UGCCCCGGGUGGGUCCCGGCCGGCGCCGGCGAGGGGCGAGGGGAGCGGGGCUGGGGCUGCGCCGCUUCUUGUACCAUCCCGUCCCGUCCUGUCCCGCGGCUGUUCCAAGGCUCCAGGCUCGCAGAGAUUUGUGUUAAGAUCGCGCUGACCGAGAUGGAAAUCAGGUUUUCUACCUGAGCUUCUGCAGGGUGAGAGCAGCUGGAGGAUCCUCGAGCUGUGCGUAGGGGUGGGGAGGGACGAGCCGUGGGGUUGUGGCCAGGGAGCAUCCACAAUCCCAGCAGUGUGAUGCUGAAGGAAUUUUGGUUCGUGUGAAACAAGUGGAAAAAACAGGUAUAAUCGCCAGCCCCAAAGGGGCAGGAGGUGGAGCUGGAGUUUAAAACCCAGCCAGGCCAACUUAGGAGGGUUUCAAAGGCAAGAACUGGCAGGAAACACUGGAAACUAGAGGAUUUUUUAAAAAAAAAGCAUAUGGAAAUAUGCAAUGCCUUAGCAAUAACAAGAACAAAAAUGUGUGCUAGACUCCAAAACUAAUGUGGGUUUUGCUGAAAAGGGUGUUUUUUUCAGAUAAUAAUGGAGAACCUACAUAACCUUUCUGCAUCAGGUUUGUGUAGCUUUAGUUUGCUGAAGCAAAGCAAAAAUCAGUGUGUGUGUGUGCGUGUUAGAUGCAAGACAGCAAACUGUUUGUAUUGGUGUAAGAGCUGGAUCCUCUAGAGAAAAUGGCACCAGCCCUUGGAAUACAUGUGUAACUCCAGCAGUAGUUGUGCCAGAAGGUGCUGGGAUUGUUCACCUUCUUUUAAAUGAUGUGAUAGGGACUGCUGGAUCACGGAGGAAAAUCCGAAUACAGUGAUCAAAGUAUAGUUAAAUUGUAGAAUAGUGACUCUUCUCUCAUCACCUCAGCCUGUGAAAUGUAGGAUUCCCAAUCCUACACUUGUGCCAUUCCACUGAAAUCAUCAGAAUUUUUCACCUGGAAUACCAAUGGUGUAAAAACAUCUCAAAGUGAGAGCAAAUGGUUCAUUAGUUAUGCAGCUUCUUUCCUUUUCAGAAGUCACUGUUGUAUGUACAGAAUUUAUUAUCAUUUUUAGCAGAUUCUUUGUUGGUUUUUCCCUCCCAACAGCCAAUUCCUUAAUGAUUAAUCCACAAACUGUGGCAAAUCUGCAAGUUUUGGGAUGCAUGUUUAAGUCAUCUGUGUCAUCUUACGUCACUAUUGCAUAAUCUGUUGACUGUCCCCUUUUUAUGUAAUGUAUGUUUGGAGUUUGUUUUAAAAUGUACAAAUAUUUUUUUUCCCCUGCGUGCUGCUCCUUGGAUAUUCCAUGUUUGUCUCUCCAUUGCCCUCUGGAGUUACAGACUUGUAAGGCACCAUUUUGGUGGCUGGAUCCAGCAAAUGUUACUAUUUCUCUCUUAAAAACAGUCUUUAUGAUGGUCUCAGGACAUGUUCUUUGCCAGGUGAGUUAUUUAGUGUUAAAAAAAACCACUCCUGGAGUUUCUGCUUCCUCCUGGUGGAAACAUAAAAGCGACUUGUGCUGGUCAAGUCCAUCCACAUCAUAAAUGAACUUUUAUAAGAAACUUAGUAACACAUUAACUUUUACAGUGUAAAACUUGUUGUUUUAUAAACCCAUUUCAGAACUUAAGGUAUCUCAUUCCCUUAGGCAAAGUGGGGGGUGUAGAAGUUGUUCCAUGUUGUUUUCAGCAAUGCCUGUUUUUAGGGAAGAAAAAAACCAAAGCGGGAUAAAGUAUAGGUUGACAGAAGCUUAUAAUUUAGCUACUUUACAGUGGGAUUGUGUAUUUCCCAAUUUUAUAUGUGGAUCCUAUGACCUAAAAUUGCCAACUUACCUGGCUGGCUGCCAUGGCACUCUCUGCCUGUCUGGUCCAUGACAUUCAAUACUUGAGUAGCAUAAGCCAAAUGCUGCUGGUGUGGCUCCAGUGGAUUUAAGGUGGAAGAGAGGGGUGCCCCUGUUGUUUUGUAGGGGUGUGGUUGCACUGUCUCCAUUAAAUCCAGCGUGGGUGGAUUUGGCCAGAAGGAGCUGCUACUAAAAACACUUUGAGCUGUGUUGUGGAAUCCAACCUGGUCAUUAAGAUAACACUAAUUAUCUGGAUAAUUUUCUGGAAUAAACCUCAGUCACGUGGAUAAUUUUCUGGAGUAAACCUCAGCUGCAAAGCCACUGUGAAAUGCUUUCCCCUGAGGGGUGAUGUGGCGUUUUUGGGACACGUGAGGGAUAAGGAGGUGGAGGACAUGCCUGUUGGGCUUGGCAGUGCCACGGAGGGGCUGCAAUGACUGACAGGCUGCCCUGGCUCAGUUAUCACAGUGCUGAUGCUGUCUCUUGUAAAGGUACAGUACUGUGAUAACUGAAGGAUGGCAGCCAUCUGAGCUUCACGGGAUUCCGGGAACGACAGCCUGCUCACCUGGAGUGUGCUCCUCUUACCUGUGUCCUUGGGCAUAAAAAUACAAUUUAUCUGAAUAAAAUAUUACACAGUUUGCCUGUUUAUUGACUGCUUUGUCUUGGGAGGUCUUCCAGAAAUGCUGUGCUUUGGGAGUCUGCAAAAAUGGUUCCCAGAGCAGGGUCCUGUGCUGUGGUGAAUAUUAAAGGGCAGAGGGGCAGCUCAGUGGGUGAUACUUGGUAGCAGAAUGAAUUACUCUGUAGCAAUACAGAAAACUGAGCCCUAUUUAGGUACUUUUUAAUACCUCUUGGCUGGCUACUGUAACUCUUACGUGUUUAUGUGGUGGGGCAUGGGUUAUUUCACAGUCUCAGUGAUGGAGCUGGGACAGUCCCUUGCUCGGGGCUUCUCUGACCUGUAAGUGGGAGACUGUGAAUUUCCCGGGUCGUUUCUGUAGCGAUGUCAUCAAAAUCCCUGGAAAGGAGGAGUUGUCCAGGGAGCCUGUGCUGCUGACUGAUGUUUGUGCUGCGUGAAUUAACUCUGCAGUGCUGGGACACGACGGCAGAGGGGCCCCGCGGGCCGGGUUGUGGUGGGAGUGUGAAAUCCCAAGAUUUUUGCAUAAAGUAAUCAAGAGACCUGCAGAGACGUUAAUGCGGUUUCUGUUUCCCAGCUUCCCUCCCCGACGAACUGGUGGCCCUCAGGCUGCCGGGGCUGGUGCAGCAACUUCUAGAGGUCACAAUUUAUUCCCCAUCCCGACGUUUAAGGUGGUCAUUGACCCAGUGGUGUUUAGAAAACUCUUCCUUGUGGGCUGGGUGAUUCAUCACCAUCCAGGGCUUUACCCUGGGCUUCCCUGUGCAGCCCCAGCUGCUGCUCCUGGGAGAGGACAGGGAUUAGCUGCAAGAUGAAAUGAGCUGGUUUGUUAUUUCUCUGCUCUUCACUGGAAGGUGUUGGGGGCAGCCCGUGCUGGGGGCUGUUCCUGUGGGGUCGAGGCUGUGCAGCUGUGAUGGAACAUUUUGCCAAUGUGCGUCACUUAGAGGGGGGAAAAUAUUAGUGGUAUUAUGAGAGUGGUUCAAGUCUGGUUCUGGAGGAGGGCUCUGUCACACCAGAAACUGCAAAUGAUAAAAGAGACAUCCUACUACCAAGAGUUUAAGUUCUAGAUUAAAAUCUGAGAAGAGUCAACCCUCAGCUUCCUUUUUCCAAAGGCUGCAGGCACCCCUUGACCAGAGCAGGGAUGUGCUUAUCCCGAAAAUUAAAGCUGGUCAUCUCUACAUUUGGCUGUACAACAGCAACAUGCCUGUGCUCCUCCUCCGUGUCCCAUGGUCUCAUUCCAGUUACAAGAUGAAUAGGAAAAACGAGGAGCUCUGGACUUUUGGAGUGGGAGCAUUUGUAAGCUUGCAGCUUGCCCAAGUCUGGAUUUUAUCUCUUUCUGCCUGUGUCUGCUGUUGGCUUUGGAUCCAGCAGGCCCUCAGGAAAUAGGCAUCCUCUUUCCUGAAAGAAAAGCAGGUGCCAUGGGGUUUUGAGCGGGAAGCAGCGUGGCAUCCAGCCAGGUCCUCGUGGUGCCGUCCCAGGGACAGCUUUGGGUGUUCACUGAUGAAAUAGUCAGGGUGCUGACUCCUACUAGAAACCAGAAAGUCCUAUUCCUUCCCAUGGGAAACAAGAUAGCUGCUCAGAGGCAGAGAGAAGGUUUGUUAUGGAUCAGGUCCAAGGAGUAUGGUUCCUCACCUGCCAGGCUAUAGAUCAGGUUUGAAGUUAAUGACCAAUCCUCUCGCUUGGAGGGACAUUUAGCACAGCUGCUCUGUGCACUGAACACACCCUGGUGCUGCUGAGGGAGAGCAAAGAGCCUGCUGGGGUGACAUGUGCCCCUGGCUUCACAUCGUGAUUCUUGUUUCCUGUCACAACAAGCACAGCCUCGAGCCUCUGGCAUGGGACAGGAACUGAAACACUGGCCGUUCCUGAAAACAACAGCUCUCCACUCACAUUUACCAUUUAUCUCCCUCUCCAGCCCAGUGGACAUAGAAUCCAUCUCUUUGUCCUGUAGCUUCCCACUGAUAUGGGAAGGGGCAGACUGGUGGUUUUGCUACGUCUAAAUAUUGCUGCACACGAACAGUGCAAGUAUCAAAGUGUGUUUUGGCAGCAGAGCACUUCCUCCCACAAACAUGUUAAAGCAAGAUGUAAACAACCUGCAUCCAGUGAUACAGGCUCAGAAAUAAGGUGCUUGAGGACCAUCCGUUUUCUGAUAAAACUUGCUGUAAUUUAUGGGAUUGAUCCCAAGGCAAGGCAGUUUUCUUGUGGCACGUCUCAGCUGUCAUUCCAGAUGGGUUUGUUCUAACCCAGCGGUUCUCAGGCGCUUUCAUCAGGAAAGUCCCUUUUCCCAUCUGGAGGCUGUCACCUUCCCACCCACAUUUUGCAUGAGAAGAGCAGCAGUUGUGCUCCUGCGCUGUCUCCUUGGGGCUGCAGACAGGAAUGGCUGUUCUGUUCCUGGCUCUCAGCCACAAAUCUGCCUUUUAAGGAUCGAAGUUUGUGCUGGCUGGGAACAGAGCUGGCCAGCCACUAUCAGCUUCUGACAACAGCAGGAUAAAAGGCAUCCAUUGUCUGCCAGCACUCAGCCUUGAAACCAGGUAAGGAUGUUGCCUUUCCCAAAAUGCUUUUUAAAAAAAAAAAAAAAAAC